rnacentral:rRNA from 1 species
CACGUAGUUAGCCGUGGCUUUCUGAUUAGGUACCGUCAAGACGUGCACAGUUACUUACACAUUUGUUCUUCCCUAAUAACAGAGUUUUACGAUCCGAAGACCUUCAUCACUCACGCGGCGUUGCUCCGUCAGGCUUUCGCCCAUUGCGGAAGAUUCCCUACUGCUACCUCCCGUAGGAGUCUGGACCGUGUCUCAGUUCCAGUGUGGCCGAUCACCCCUCUCAGGUCGGCUACGUAUCGUUGCCUUGGUAAGCCGUUACCUUACCAACUAGCUAAUACGGCGCGGGUCCAUCUAUAAGUGAUAGCAAAACCAUCUUUCACUUUAGAACCAUGCGGUUCUAAAUGUUAUCCGGCAUUAGCCCCCGGUUUCCCGGAGUUAUUCCAGUCUUAUAGGUAGGUUACCCACGUGUUACUCACCCGUCCGCCGCUAACGUCAAAGGAGCAAGCUCCUUAUCUGUUCGCUCGACUUGCAUGUAUUAGGCACGCCGCCAGCGUUCAUCCUGAGCCAGGAUCAAACUCU